AGUGAACGCUGGCGGUAGGCCUAACACAUGCAAGUCGAACGGCAGCACAGGAGAGCUUGCUCUCCGGGUGGCGAGUGGCGGACGGGUGAGGAAUGCAUCGGAAUCUACUCUUUUGUGGGGGAUAACGUAGGGAAACUUACGCUAAUACCGCAUACGACCUACGGGUGAAAGCAGGGGACCUUCGGGCCUUGCGCGAUUGAAUGAGCCGAUGUCCGAUUAGCUGGUUGGCGGGGUAAAGGCCCACCAAGGCGACGAUCGGUAGCUGGUCUGAGAGGAUGAUCAGCCACACUGGAACUGAGACACGGUCCAGACUCCUACGGGAGGCAGCAGUGGGGAAUAUUGGACAAUGGGCGCAAGCCUGAUCCAGCCAUACCGCGUGGGUGAAGAAGGCCUUCGGGUUGUAAAGCCCUUUUGUUGGGAAAGAAAAGCAGCCGGCUAAUACCCGGUUGUUCUGACGGUACCCAAAGAAUAAGCACCGGCUAACUUCGUGCCAGCAGCCGCGGUAAUACGAAGGGUGCAAGCGUUACUCGGAAUUACUGGGCGUAAAGCGUGCGUA
rnacentral:rRNA from 1 species